AUUGAACGCUGGCGGAAUGCUUUACACAUGCAAGUCGAACGGUAGAGGGGGCAACCCCUCGAGAGUGGCGAACGGGUGAGUAAUAUAUCGGAACGUGCCCAGUCGUGGGGGAUAACGUAGCGAAAGUUACGCUAAUACCGCAUACGAUCUAAGGAUGAAAGCGGGGGAUCGCAAGACCUCGCGCGAUUGGAGCGGCCGAUAUCAGAUUAGGUAGUUGGUGGGGUAAAGGCUCACCAAGCCAACGAUCUGUAGCUGGUCUGAGAGGACGACCAGCCACACUGGAACUGAGACACGGUCCAGACUCCUACGGGAGGCAGCAGUGGGGAAUUUUGGACAAUGGACGCAAGUCUGAUCCAGCCAUUCCGCGUGCAGGAUGAAGGCCCUCGGGUUGUAAACUGCUUUUGUACGGAACGAAAAGGUUUCUAUUAAUACUAGGAGCUCAUGACGGUACCGUAAGAAUAAGCACCGGCUAACUACGUG
rnacentral:rRNA from 1 species